GUCGAACGGUAACAGGAAGCAGCUUGCUGCUUCGCUGACGAGUGGCGGACGGGUGAGUAAUGUCUGGGAAACUGCCUGAUGGAGGGGGAUAACUACUGGAAACGGUAGCUAAUACCGCAUAACGUCGCAAGACCAAAGAGGGGGACCUUCGGGCCUCUUGCCAUCGGAUGUGCCCAGAUGGGAUUAGCUAGUAGGUGGGGUAACGGCUCACCUAGGCGACGAUCCCUAGCUGGUCUGAGAGGAUGACCAGCCACACUGGAACUGAGACACGGUCCAGACUCCUACGGGAGGCAGCAGUGGGGAAUAUUGCACAAUGGGCGCAAGCCUGAUGCAGCCAUGCCGCGUGUAUGAAGAAGGCCUUCGGGUUGUAAAGUACUUUCAGCGGGGAGGAAGGCGAUAAGGUUAAUUAUCUUGUCGAUUGACGUUACCCGCAGAAGAAGUACCGGCUAACUCC
rnacentral:rRNA from 1 species